GCGAUGAUGAAUGUCAAUUCUAUUGAACUUAUGAAGUGAUGAUGUAUUUGUUGUUUACUCUAAGAAGUUCUGAGCUG
rnacentral:snoRNA from 15 species